rnacentral:miRNA from 1 species
GCGAGUCCACCAAGACAGUC